GAUGAAGAGCGUAGCGAAAUGCGAUACUUGGUGUGAAUUGCAGAAUCCCGUGAACCAUCGAGUCUUUGAACGCAAGUUGCGCCCGAAGCCAUUAGGCCGAGGGCACGCCUGCCUGGGCGUCACACGUCGUUGCCCCCCCAUCUACUCCUUCGGGAUUGCGGGGGGCGGAUGAUGGCCUCCCGUGCGCCUCGCCGCGCGGUUGGCAUAAAUGCCAAGUCCUCGGCGACGCACGCCACGACAAUCGGUGGUUGCGAAACCUCGGUUGCCCGUCGUGUGCGGUCGUCGCGCAUCGAGGGCUCGAAAAAAUUGCCGGGUUCCGGCUCGGCUUUCAACGCGACCCCAGGUCAGGCGGGGUUACCCGCUGAAUUUAAGCAUAUCAAUAAGCGGAGGA
rnacentral:misc_RNA from 1 species